rnacentral:lncRNA from 1 species
CACUUGGUCUUCUCCCGACCAGCAGUAAAACGCUUGCUGAAGUGGGGCGUCCGUUUGGCUGUGCGGGAUGUAUCAAGUUCGCAGUCACGUCUGUCAGAAGGGGACGUUAAAUCCGAUGCCUCGUGUAAAGAGAGUGCCACGCUCUUUGCACGUUAAGAACCCUUGCAACAACUCUUUGAGGGGUCCGUAGGUGGCCUGUUACAAGGCAAAAUUUCUGUCCCUAUCCAAUAUACCCUCAUUUUCUAGUGGCAGUCCAAAUUUCCCCGACCAUCAUCCUAGAUGGCCUCUAUUACAACAACCUACCUAUUGUAUUUAUUGUGAACUUGUUCUCGUCCUGAAUAUGCAUGAAAUAUUUGCCACUGGACGUUAAGCAACCAACAAUCAAUCAACCAAUCCU